rnacentral:rRNA from 1 species
AUUGAACGCUGGCGGCAGGCCUAACACAUGCAAGUCGAGCGGCAGCGGGAAAGUAGCUUGCUACUUUUGCCGGCGAGCGGCGGACGGGUGAGUAAUGCCUGGGAAAUUGCCCAGUCGAGGGGGAUAACAGUUGGAAACGACUGCUAAUACCGCAUACGCCCUACGGGGGAAAGCAGGGGACCUUCGGGCCUUGCGCGAUUGGAUAUGCCCAGGUGGGAUUAGCUAGUUGGUGAGGUAAUGGCUCACCAAGGCGACGAUCCCUAGCUGGUCUGAGAGGAUGAUCAGCCACACUGGAACUGAGACACGGUCCAGACUCCUACGGGAGGCAGCAGUGGGGAAUAUUGCACAAUGGGGGAAACCCUGAUGCAGCCAUGCCGCGUGUGUGAAGAAGGCCUUCGGGUUGUAAAGCACUUUCAGCGAGGAGGAAAGGUCAGUAGCUAAUACCUGCUGGCUGUGACGUUACUCGCAGAAGAAGCACCGGCUAACUCCGUGCCAGCAGCCGCAGUAAAAC